rnacentral:rRNA from 1 species
GAUGAACGCUGGCGGCGUGCCUAACACAUGCAAGUCGAGCGAACAGACGAGGAGCUUGCUCCGCUGACGUUAGCGGCGGACGGGUGAGUAACACGUGGAUAACCUACCUAUAAGACUGGGAUAACUUCGGGAAACCGGAGCUAAUACCGGAUAAUAUAUUGAACCGCAUGGUUCAAUAGUGAAAGACGGUUUUGCUGUCACUUAUAGAUGGAUCCGCGCCGCAUUAGCUAGUUGGUAAGGUAACGGCUUACCAAGGCAACGAUGCGUAGCCGACCUGAGAGGGUGAUCGGCCACACUGGAACUGAGACACGGUCCAGACUCCUACGGGAGGCAGCAGUAGGGAAUCUUCCGCAAUGGGCGAAAGCCUGACGGAGCAACGCCGCGUGAGUGAUGAAGGUCUUCGGAUCGUAAAACUCUGUUAUUAGGGAAGAACAAAUGUGUAAGUAUCUAUGCACGUCUUGACGGUACCUAAUCAGAAAGCCACGGCUAACUACGUG